rfam:Erinaceus europaeus unplaced genomic scaffold scaffold00097, whole genome shotgun sequence
GAAAGGAACAGACUGGAGUUUGAGGAAGAGGAUUGCCACUGGGUCUCCGAGCAAGCCUCGUGAAUGUCUCCAGUUUUGGAACCCCUGAGCU